rnacentral:lncRNA from 1 species
UACCGGGGGGAGGGGACCCCGCCCGCGCCCACCCCCCCCGCCGAGCCCUCGCCCGAGUUGGCCGAGAUGUAAACGAUGACGCCGACGAUGUUGGACAGGCCUGGCAGCGAAGGGGUUAAAUGGCUCGUUAAUGGGGGGGGAAAUUAAUUAAAGAGGUAAAAAAUGGGAGAAAUUAAAAAAAUCGGGGGAAAUGUAAAGGAAAUGGUUAAAAAAGGGGAAUGAUGGAAAGGAUGGCGGCGGCGAUGUUGGACAGGCCUGGCAGCGAAGGGGUUAAAUGAUUCGUUAAUGGGGGGGGAAAUUAAUUAAAGAGGUAAAAAUGGGGAGAAAUUAAAAAAAUCGGGGGAAAAUGUAAAGGAAAUUAUUAAAAAAGGGGAAUGAUGGAAAGGAUGGCGGCGGCGAUGUUGGACAGGCCUGGCAGCGAAGGGGUUAAAUGAUUCGUUAAUGGGGGGGAAAAAAUGGGGGGAAAUUAAAAAUUUGAAAUUAAAAAUAUAUGGGGGGAAAAGAUUUUUUAAUGGGGGAAAAUUAAAAAAAAGGGAUGAAUUUUGGGAUGGAUUUUGGGGGUUUUGGGAUGGGUUUUGGGAUGGAUUUUUUUGUGGAUUUUGAAGUUUUUUGGGAUGGAUUUUUGGAUGGAUUUUGGGUGGAUUUCGGGGUUUUUGGGAUGGUUUUUGGAUGGAUUUCAGGAUGGAUUUUGGGAUGGAUUUUUUAUGGAUUUUGAUGGUUUUUGGGAUGGAUUUUCGGGGUUUUUGGGAUGGAUUUGGGGCGGAUUUGGGGGUCAUACCCGCGGCCACGAAGAGGAUGCCGGGAUGGAUAUUGGGAUGGAUUUUGGGGAUUUUGGGAUGGAUUUUGGGGCGGAUUUGGGGUUCAUACCCGCGGCCACGAAGAGGAUGCCGGGAUGGAUUUUGGGAUGGAUUUUGGGAUGGAUUUUGGGAUGGAUUUUGGGGAUUUUGGGAUGGAUUUUCGGGGUUUUUGGGAUGGAUUUCGGGGAUUUUGGGGUGGAUUUGGGGUUCAUACCCGCGGCCACGAAGAGGAUACCGGGAUGGAUUUUGGGAUGGAUUUUGGGAUGGAUUUUGGGAUGGAUUUUUUAUGGAUUUUGGGAUGGAUUUUCGGGGUUUUUGGGAUGGAUUUCGGGGAUUUUGGGGCGGAUUUGGGGGUCAUACCCGCGGCCACAAAGAGGAUGCCGGGAUGGAUUUUGGGAUGGAUUUUGGGAUGGAUUUUGGGAUGGAUUUUGGGGUGGAUUUCAGGGAUUUUGGGGUGGAUUUGGGGGUCAUACCCGCGGCCACGAAGAGGAUGCCGGGAUGGAUUUGGGAUGGAUUUUGGGGUGGAUUUCGGGGAUUUUGGGGCGGAUUUGGGGGUCAUACCGGCGGCCACGAAGAGGAUGCCGGCGCCGAGCACGAGGCUGGUCCUGGCCCGCCGCAGGCGCGAGGCGGCCACGCAGAGCCCCCCCAGCAGCAGCAG